rnacentral:rRNA from 1 species
UACGGGGGGGGCAAGCGUUGUUCGGAAUUACUGGGCGUAAAGGGCGCGUAGGCGGUUCGCUAAGUUGGAUGCGAAAACUCUGGGCUCAACCCAGAGCCUGCAUCCAAAACUGGCGGGCUAGAGUUCUGGAGGGGGUAGCGGAAUUCCUGGUGUAGUGGUGGAAUGCGUAGAUAUCGGGAGGAACACCAGUGGCGAAGGCGGUUGCCUGGGGCUUUGCUGACGCUGAUGCGCGAAAGCGUGGGGAGCGAUCCGG